rnacentral:tRNA from 1 species
AACAAAGAAGUAAAAUUUACACUUAGUUUCGACCUAAGAUUAAAGGAGAACCUUCAUGUUU